GUGCCCCUUAUCAAUGCUACAGAGCGAUAGAUGUGAUUUAUGGGAAUCAAAUCACCCAGCCUUGGAUGAGAAGCUCAGUCUGAGACCUGGAAUUAUCAGGCAAGUAAGUCCGAGCUUGGAGAGAUUUCUUGAAGCAUUAGUGCCGUGUCCAGAACUCCCUACAACUUUCUUUAGGCCUUGAGUCGGGUCCUGGGAAGGACAGAACCCUCUUCUUUGGCCUUUCAAAAUAUUUCCACCAGACCCAGAGGAAAAGUCCUGGUGUUGGGUUGUCCCAAGACCAUCUCUUUCACAAGCCUUAGAACUCAUUUUUAUUUUCCCUGACAUUCUGGAUAAUGAUGUUUGACAAGUACUUUUAUUCCAGAUGAGAGAUGCUUGGGCCAACCUGGAGGCUGCCUGAUGUCUGCUCAGUCUUAACCUGGAGACAGGUCCUGCUGCUGCAGCGAUGGCUGGGUAGGAUGGCGUUACGGCCUCUUUUCCCGGGGCAGCACCUGGGGCCAGGAGGCCUAAGCCCCGUUGGCCUUCCAGCUUUGGGUUGCUCUCAGCCCUUUGCCCGCCUGUGCAUCUCCAGCUGGGAUAAGCACCUCUCUCCUAAUUUGGCUGGAAUCUAAAUGAGGUCUUCCAACAUGCAACCACAUCAGCUCCAUGUUGCCCAAAGGGGCAGACUCCGUGCAAAGCUCUGAGCCUUAGGCUGUGCGCCGUGGGGUCUUUACAGCAGGGGGACACCCAGGCUGGGCUCCUGGGAGGGACUCAGCCCCACUCUCGCCAGAGGGCGCCACACUCCUCCUUUAUCACCAUCCUGGCCUCGCUUCCGAGUUUCAGAGGCUCAGGAGAGGGGUCGGGCAGCCCUUCCAGGGAGAAUUCUCACAGCUGCACCACUCUGCAAACGACUCACAGGCGUUGCAGUUUCCUAUCGGGUCGCUGAAUGAUUUUAUGAGGGAAAAACAGCUGACCUGGCCAUGGCUCUUCUUCCAUAAAAUAAUCAAUUUUUGUAUUUAGCAACAGCAGGCCACAAACCGAGUUUCUUCCUUGGCUUCCAUUCCAGUUUAUGAGUCAAAAAUAAUUUUCCCCUUUUGCAAGUCCAACAUCGAUCCCACUUGGAAGCCGCGGUGGUCAAGAGAUUCCUCAGAAAUGAACCUGACAAAAUGGAGCUGGUGACAGUUUUCCUUUCUCUAAAAAACUUCUACCGAAACAGACUCUAUUAAUCGCGGGUGCAGCUACUAUUCCAAGAAACUGCGUGAAGACAUUUUUUUCUUUCUCAGUAGCUGUUCAUCACCGUGAAGGAGACGAUGACGAGGUUCCCAACCCAAGCACUGGGCUACGCGCCUCUUCCACGCUGCACGAGACGAGAAACCUUUACCAGCUCCUCCUGCCUAAAGGUGAAGUCUACCAAAGUCCACAUUCCUGAGUGUGGAAGGUGAUCCUUUGCAGCCUGGCCCCAGCUCACCUGUUCAGCCUCCUCCUCCGACACCCUCAGGAAACCCCCUGCCUUCUGGCCCCAUCUAAUGCAUCUUGAUGUUCCCAGAAUGCAUCAGGCACAGGCUAACAAGGCUUCCCACGUGGGCUCAGACCCCCCCUCCCGCCCCCGCCACCCGCAGGAUUCCUGGGAAUUCGACAGAGACAGAUAAGCAUCAGCUACUUUUGGUCUGGUGAUUUUCAACAAGAUUGUCUGGUGCAAAGACCCAGUUCAUCUCUCACCAGCCGAUACGUAGUUUGGAACUCAGUCUGAGCCAAUCUUCCCAGUUCCAGCAGGAUGCCUGCAGGAUGGAAAAUGACAGGGGAAAAGAGUUGCUUUAUGUGCACAUUUUAAAAGGAACCAUGUAAUUCUAUGCUCCUUGAAGCUACUUCUUAUUUAAUAAACUGAAGAUCUAAAUUCCAAGUAGUAUUUUGCUCUAGAACAUGCACAGAUUUCCAAGGAGGUUAGCGUUUGGGAGAAGAGACCAGAGAAAUACUCAGGUUUCAUCUAAAAAUACAACUGUUCCCCCCACCCCGUGGGGAUCACACGCCAUGUUUGUGAAACUGGCGUGUGACACAGCAGGUUUGUGGCUACAGCAGAAGGAAACCUCUUCUUUAUUCUCCAGGGAAUAUUCAACACUAACAUUGCUGGGUGGGGUGGGGGCUGGUUUGCCCCCAGUCCUAAGAUGAAAUCUCUCACAGCCAUGUGACCUUCCAGCAGCUCUUGGAUAAGAAAAAUCCUCCGGUCACUUCAAGUCCACAGUGCUCUGUUUGUGACAGGGACCCCUUGAAGUUAAAAUUCUUCCCAGCCAGUAGCCUUCCUGUCUGCCGGCCUCCCUCCCACUCCCUGGGCUGCCUGGACUCCUGCAGGGUGAAGUGGGAGGAGGGGCGGUACCCCUGUCAGCCCCCACCAUCAUUUCCUUUGGCUGUGUAAAUAUUUCAAGCGAAUUUUUCUCCUGUGAGGGGCUGAAGCAUUCCUUGGAGACUUCCUGGAAGCUGGGGUGUUGCUCACUUGAGGGGGUGAGGACAUCUUCAGCGGACGCCUGGGUUCCCUGGCUCAGCCAUUUCUCCUGGUGGCCCCCCUGGGCAGUUCCUUCUCAGGGUCCGUGUCCAGUCCAUGGGAAGCACUCAUGCAUCCUUUGUCCCAGGAGGUGGCACUCUCCCCAGGGAAGCCACCUUUCCUUGUUCUUUUUUUGUUUGUUUGUUUUUGAAACAGAGUCUCGCUCUGUUGCCCAGGCUGAAGUGCAGUGGCACGAUCUCGGUUCACUGCAACCUCUGCCUCCCGGGUUCAAAUGAUCCUCAUGCCUCAGCCUUCCUAGUAGCUGAGAUUACAGGUGUGCACUGCCACACCUGGCUAAUUCUUGUAUUUUUGUAGAGAUGGGGUUUUGCUAUGUUGGCCAGGCUGGUCUUGAACUCUUGCAAUCAAGCGAUCUUCCCGCCUGGGCCUCCCAAAAAUGCUGAGAUUACAGGUGUGAGCCACUGCACUCAGCCUCACCUUUUCUUGUUUUGACUUCAGGUCUUCUUGCCUUUAGGAUUUCUCAGGCAGGUGACAGACACCAGUUGUCAGGUCCCCAAGCUCUUGGGUACCUCUGACAGCUCUCUGAAGGGUCUCCUUGAAGUCCUUCUUACUAGGCCCCCCUUGUUUCAUCCACAGCAGGGACGGGAUGGGGAAGAAAAGUACCCCAGCAUCCAAGCACUGUCUCAAAAGAAGUUCUGUCGGCCAGGCGCAGUGACUCACGCCUGCAAUCUCAGCAUUUUGGGAGGCUGAGACAGGCGGAUCACCCGUCAGGAGGUCAAGAGUUUGAGACCAGCCUGGCCAACAUGGUGAAACCUCGUCUCUACUAAAAAUACGAAAAAAUUAGCUAGGCGUGGUGGCAGCCGCCUGUAAUCCCAGCUACUCAGGAGGCUGAGGCAGGAGAAUCCCUUGAACCUCGGAGGUGGAGGCUGCAGUGAGCCAAGAUAGGCGUCACUGCACUCCAGCCUGGGCACUAAGAGCGAAACUCUGUCUCAAAAAAAAAACAAACAAAAAGUCAUCUCUCAUUCUAACCUCUCUUGACCUUGCCACCUUCUGCCCUAGGGGCGGUCACAGGUUCCCGGAAGCCUCUUUGCAGGCCCCGGUGAGCUGGUUCAGUACCUCACUUCAGAACAUUGGAGUUGUUGGCACCUACUGGUUUGUUUUCCGCCUCAGGAGUUUUGCCAGAAUUGAAACAGUAUCUUUUUUAUUUUUAUUUUUUGAGACAGAGUCUUGCUCUAUCUACCCAGGCUGGAGUGCAGCGGCUGGAUCUCAGCUCACUGCAACCUCUGCCUCCUGGGUUCAAGCAAUUCUCCUGCCUCAGCCUCCCAAGUAGCUGAGUUUACAGGCAUGUGCCACCACACCUGGCUCAUGUUUGUAUUUUAGUAGAGACAGGGUUUCGCCUUGUUGCCCAGGCUGGCCUUGAACUCCUGAUCUUGGGUGAUCUGCCUGCUUCAGCCUCCCAAAGUGCUGGGAUUACAGGCGUAAGCCACUGUGCCCAGCCAAAACAGAAUCAUUUUUAACGUCUUGUUCCAUUAUAUUUGCUGAAGGUAGCAGGACCAGGAGAUAGUUGUAAUAGCAUAGCUGGUCUUCUUUGGUUUAUUGAUAUUCUAGGCAUUUCCAGUGUCCUACUGGAAGCUACUAGUGGCUUCAAAAGUUGCUGGUCACCUCAUGGUCAUAAAUGGCUGCCGCUGCUCUGGGAAUCACACCCAGAGUCAAGUCUGUCUUCUUAAAAAUAUAUGAAAAUGGCUACAUCCAGACCAUGGAAUAUUAUUCAGUGGAAAUGAGCUAUCAAGCCGUGAACAAACAUGGAGGAAAGGUAAAUGCGUAUUAUUAAGUGAAAGAAGCCGCUCUGAAAAGGCUAUGUUCCGUACGAUUCCAACUAUGUGACACUCUGGAAAAAGCAAAGCCUUGGGGACCAGGGGUUGGGGGAGGAAGAGGUUAGCAGGCGGAGCAUGGAGGAUUAUCAGGCGCUGAAAUUACUCUGUAUGACACAGCAAUGGCAGGUACACGUCAUUGUACAUUUGUCAAAUCGCACAGAAUGUACGACACCAAGAGUCUGUAAUGUAGAUGAUGGACUUUGGGUGAUAAUGAUGUGUGAAUCGUUUCAUCGACUGUCAGAUGAAUCAGCUGCAGGGUGUUGACAGAGCGGGAGGCCGUGGGUAUGUUGGGUAAGGAAGUCUAUGGGACCUCUGCAUUUUCUGCUCAAAUUUGCUGUGAACUAAAACUGCCUAAAAUAUAAAGUCUGUUUAAAUAAAUAAAUAUGUAUGUAUGAAAGAAUGAAAAUUGGUGGAAUAGAGAGGCCUGGGUAUAUUUUUUCUUAGAAGUCCAGCCCAUUUGAGUCCCAAGAUCUGCCAACAGAUCCUUCCUCCACGUCUGAAAUGAUGUUGCGUCAGGCAGAGGCACACAGCCCCGACUGUCUCCAGUACAGACAUUUCUUCAGGCCACUUCACCUUCCUCUGCUUACAGCUCCCUCCGGGCAGGCGCGGGGCCUGCCUGUGCUCAUCCUGCAGGCAGAGAACAUUGCCAGAGAACACCACCACUAAUGGGAAGACUGCCCCCUGACCGGCACAUGGCCUCAGCAUUCAUCCACAGAUGCUCCUCAAAUUGUUUUAAAAACAGCUUUUUUUAAAAGCUGUUUGUCUAUGAAGAUUAAAUGAGUUAAUAAUAUAAGCAAAGCACUUUGCAUGGCUACUGGGCACGGUGGUUCAUGCCUGUAAUUCCAGCACUUUGGGAGGCCGAAGCAGGUGGAUCACCUGAGGUCAGGAGUUCAAGACCAGCCUGAUCAACAUGGCGAAACCCUGUCUCUAUUAAAAAUACAAAAAAAAUAGCCGGGCAUGGUGGCACGUGCCUGUAAUCCCAGCUACUUGGGAGGCUAAGGCAGGAGAAUCGCUUGAACCUGGGAGGCAGAGGUUGCAGUGAGCCGAGACCUCGCCGUUGCACUCCAGCCUGGUUGACAGAGCAAGACUCUGUCUCAAAAAACAAAAAAACCCCAGCUUUUGUCCAGAGGUUGCUUUUUGUGGGUCUGUACGCUGAGGCCAAGUUCUAUGUAAGCAGAGCCCUCCCACCUCACCUCCAAACAAUGCCUCUAAACCAUCACAAUCUGAAAGGAAAAUAAAUCCCUUUCUUCAAUGGUGACCUGAAGCUAGCCAAGGACCGGGUGCUGGCAGGUGGCCUGCGAGACUGGGUCGGAUCCCGGGUUACUGUCUGAGGAGGGAUGCCGUGCUGUAAGGGUUGGGGAGCCAGUGUCUGGCUUCCUUGUCACCACAAGACCUGUGGUUUCCAGCUCUGUCUGCAUCCAGGUCCCACUAACCAACAGCAGGAGAGAAAACAGUUGUGCACACAGGCGGACGCGCACACGCGCACCUGGCCCCCCAGACGUGCACAGCCCUCAGAGGAAGUGGAGCACCAGAUGUUCUGGGUUUCCUGUUCGACGCUUCCACAGCUGGUCGAGUCUGUGGUUGUGGUUUGUCUGUCUCGGGCUCAUGUGAGAGACAAAAGCUGGGCUGACGGGAAACCUCUUCUCUCGGCCCCCACUCCCCAGCUCUGACUGAUUAGGAAACCUGGCAGGUCAGAAAUUUCCUGAAACACCCAGAGCUGGAUUCUCCCAAGAAGAAGCUGAACCCCCAACUCCCAUCCCUGAGGAGCAGCCCCUGGGCUGAUGAUCAGGACUUACAGAACCUGGGGCGAUGGAAACCUCUACAAAUAUCCCAUUUAGAAAGACCGCCAGCCCUGCCAACAGAAUGAAACGGAGGCCAGGUUGCUAUGGUCUCUACUCCAAUGCCUGACAUUGAGCCGCUGCUGCAAAACACUCAGCACAUGAAGGAAUGAAUGAGGAACAGAGAACUUCACCUUUGGGGGUUGGGUGUACAAGCCCCAACUGGGCCCCAAGUCCCAUAAAUAGCUUUGGAUUCCAACAUACAAGCAUUUGACGCAGCGAGGUGCUGCCGACUUGCUCUGUGACUUGGAGCAAGUCAUUUAGCCUCUCUGGGCCUGGUGUCCUCAUCUGCAGAAUGGAGAUGAUAAUAUCUACUUCACAAAGGUGUGAAGGCCCUGUGAGACACCGCAUGUGGAUUUCCUCGACAUUGUUUGCCCAUCGUAACUGCUCCAGAGAGGCUGGGCUCCCUUUUCUCGUUGCAACACUGCUGUUUAUUUCAGGAGAUACUCUAAAAGGGAAGCAAGCUAAAACAAAGAACAACCAAAAACACUGAUCCCGGGACAACUGCCCGGCAGGACAGCAGAGCAAGGGUACUUGGUGCUCUUCGUUGGGGGGAUGUUGGGAGAAGGGGCUGGAGCCAUCCCAGGGUCUCCAGGCUCUGGAAGGGAGCACCCCAUGUCCUCCUCUGGGUGUGGAAUAGGGUGAGUGUCUUAGGGGUGGAGAGAGAACAGGCAGAGUGUGCUCUCACCCCUUAGCUCUGUAGUGAUUUUAAUGAUUAAGGCUACUGUUCGGUCUGCAUUUGGACCUGAGCAACAGGGACCCCUGCCCAGAGGUCCAUCCUUCAGCAGCGUGCACUGCAUCCCCCUCCACUGCAGCUGACUCUAUGAGAUGAAGCAUCUGUCGCUCAGUGUAGCCAUCAGGUCCACUGCCCCUGAAAUAUGACUGACUAGGUUCAAAUGUUGACUCUGACACUUAGAAGCUGUGCCACCUUGGGGCAAGUUACUUCAUCUCUCUGUGCCUUACUUUCUUCCUUUAUAAAAUGGGUAAAAUAAUAACCACACCAUCGGUUGUCUAUGAAGAUUAAAUGAGUUGAUAAUAUAUGCAAAGCACUUAGCAUGGCUACUGGCACAAGGGUCAGUAAACGUUAACUGUUCCACACAUGAAUGUGUUUGAUUCUUAUAAUGCCCCAUGGGUAGAUUCUGUUAUUAGCUCUGUUUUACACAUGAGAAAACUUAGGCACAGGAGGUAAAGUAACAUUUGCAAGGUCACACCGUUAAGUAGCAAGGCUGAGGCUUUACUCCAGUUCUUUUUUUUUUUUUUUUUUUUGAGGCAUCUCACCAGGCUGGAGUGCAGUGGCACAAUCUCAGCUCACUGCAACCUCUGCCUCCCGGGCUCAAGCAAUUCUCCUGCCUCAGCCUCCCGAGUAGCUGGGAUUACAGGUGUGCACCACCAUGCCCGGCUAAUUUUUGUAUUUUUAGUAGAUACGGAGUUUCGUCAUGUUGGCCAGGCUGGUCUCGAACUCCUGACCUCAGG
rnacentral:lncRNA from 10 species